ACCAACAGCCACACCACCCUGAACACGCCCAGUUUCAUCUCUUCUCAGACGCUAAGCAGGGUCAGGCCUGGUUAGUACCCAGAUGAGAGAAAGUGUAAAAACAAUGGGAUAAGUGUGUU
ensembl:rRNA 5S_rRNA 5S ribosomal RNA